rnacentral:rRNA from 1 species
UACGGAGGGUGCGAGCGUUGUCCGGAAUCAUUGGGCGUAAAGGGCUCGUAGGCGGCCAACUAAGUCAUACGUGAAAUCCCUCAGCUUAACUGGGGAACUGCGUGUGAUACUGGAUGGCUUGGAUUUGGGAGAGGGAUGCGGAAUUCCAGGUGUAGCGGUGAAAUGCGUAGAUAUCUGGAGGAACACCGGUGGCGAAGGCGGCAUCCUGGACCAAUAUUGACGCUGAGGAGCGAAAGCCAGGGGAGCAAACGGG